CCUACGGGAGGCAGCAGUGAGGAAUAUUGGUCAAUGGACGAGAGUCUGAACCAGCCAAGUCGCGUGAAGGAUGACUGCCCUAUGGGUUGUAAACUUCUUUUAUAUGGGAAUAAAACGUUUCACGUGUGGGAUUUUGUAUGUACCAUAUGAAUAAGGAUCGGCUAACUCUGUGCCAGCAGCCGCGGUAAUACGGAGGAUCCGAGCGUUAUCCGGAUUUAUUGGGUUUAAAGGGAGCGUAGGUGGAUUGUUAAGUCAGUUGUGAAAGUUUGCGGCUCAACCGUAAGAUUGCAGUUGAAACUGGCAGUCUUGAGUACAGUAGAGGUGGGCGGAAUUCGUGGUGUAGCGGUGAAAUGCUUAGAUAUCACGAAGAACUCCGAUUGCGAAGGCAGUUCACUGGACUGCAACUGACACUGAGGCUCGAAAGUGUGGGUAUCAAACAGGAUUAGAUACCCCUGUAGUC
rnacentral:rRNA from 1 species